rnacentral:lncRNA from 1 species
AGGUCUCCUUUGCUCCACCAACAAGGACCACUUGACCAUAUGAUGGGGAAUUAAACCAGCUAUUUAAAAUAUUUUGAGUUACGAUCUGUGGAAUCAAACCUGCUGAGUUACGAUCUGUGGAAUCAAACCUGCUGAGUCAAAACUAUUUAAAAUAUUUUGAGUUAUGAUCUAUGCAGCAGAAGAGAUGCUAUAUAUACUUAAAUUAUUGUCAUCCUAAUGCGAUAGAAUUUAAGUCCAAAAUAUCACAGGACGAAACAGUCUGUUGGAAGUCACUGCUAACAUAUUUUGUGUAUGAUGUGUGUAGUAUUGCUACUAAUGCAGUUCAUACUUCAUCUGUGUGUCUAUUGCUUUUUGUUUACUCAUAAUUUUUUUUGCAAAUACUUAAAUAUGGAAAACUUCUUUGACUUCGUUUUUUGCAAAU